GAUGAACGCUGGCGGCGUGCCUAAUACAUGCAAGUCGAGCGGUAACACUUCGGGUGACGAGCGGCGGACGGCUGAGUAACACGUAGGAAUGUACCCCAAAGUGAGGGAUAAGCACCAGAAAUGGUGUCUAAUACCGCAUGUGCUCUAAGGAGUAAAGCUUCGGCGCUUUGGGAACGGCCUGCGUAUGAUUAGCUUGUUGGUGAGGUAAUGGCUCACCAAGGCGACGAUCAUUAGCUGGUCUGAGAGGAUGAUCAGCCAGACUGGGACUGAGACACGGCCCAGACUCCUACGGGAGGCAGCAGUAGGGAAUUUUCCACAAUGGGCGAAAGCCUGAUGGAGCAACGCCGCGUGCAGGAUGAAGGCCCUUGGGUCGUAAACUGCUUUUAUCUGUGACGAUUUUGACGGUAGCAGAUGAAUAAGGAUCGGCUAACUCCGUGCCAGCCGCCGCCGUAA
rnacentral:rRNA from 1 species